UAUAUUCCCAUUGUACCAGACACGAUCACUUCAUUUCCAGUAGUCUUAGUUCUUCAUCCCCUUCCUUAUUUGAUGGCGCGGUGAUUAGUACUGUAACUACAGCCACAAAGAAACAUUUCUCAAUUAUAUUAAAUCUUUUGGGAAUAUUACUAAAGAAAGAUAAUCUUAACCAGGACACAAGGUACCUAAGUAAUUUUUUAAAAUAACAUUAAAUUCCUAAAUUUAUUAAUUCAUUUUAAUUUAAGUCUAAGAAAUGUAGAUUACAGCUCCACUGUGAAGCAUUUGGUUUGAUUCUGUUACUUGAUGUCUCUGUAUUCUGCAGAGCUCUACUUUGGCCUGUUUUCCAGACACAAUAUCAUGAUACAGAAACAAAAUUCUUUAGACUUUGCUUUUUACUUCCAGAUUUAGAUUCCUUUUAAUUUUGUAUGUUUUUGUGUAUCUCUCUGUGUGUGCAGUGCUCUUGGAGGCUUGUGGUGUUGGAUUCCCCUGGAGCUAGAAUAACAGUGCUGUGAGCUGGCUUAUGUGGGUGUUGGAAACUGAACUUCAGUCCUGCAAAUGUCCACUCAGCCACUGAGCAGCCUCUCCAGAUCCACCUUUUAAAAAAUUGUUACUACUACUACUCCUACUACCACCACCACCACUAUUCCUUUUGUUAUUUGAAAAAUAAAAAGAAACUGAUAGAA
rnacentral:lncRNA from 1 species